rnacentral:rRNA from 1 species
GAUGAACGCUAGCGGCAGGCCUAAUACAUGCAAGACGAACGGUAAGUUGAGUAGCAAUACUUAGCCAAGAGUGUCGUACGGGUGCGUAACACGUAUGCAACCUACCCUAUACAGGAGGAUAGCCUAGGGAAACCUGGAUUAACCCUUCAUAGUAUUAUUGGAUGGCAUCAUUUGAUAAUUAAAACUGAGGUGGUAUAGGAUGGGCAUGCGUCUGAUUAGUUAGUUGGCGGGGUAAUGGCCCACCAAGACGAUGAUCAGUAGGGGUUCUGAGAGGAAGAUCCCCCACACUGGCACUGAGAUACGGGCCAGACUCCUACGGGAGGCAGCAGUAGGGAAUAUUGGGUCAAUGGAUGCAAGUCUGAACCAGCCAUGCCGCGUGCAGGAAGAAGGCCUUCUGGGUUGUAAACUGCUUUUGCCAGGGGAUAAAAUUUCCAUGCGUGGAAAACUGAAGGUACCUGGUGAAUAAGCCACGGCUAACUACGUGCCAGCAGCCGCGGUAAUC